AGGCUUUGAUGGUAGAGCUUGAAAAGGAUGAGGAAAACAAUCACCAUGCUGCAAGUCCUCUUGAGGACACAAGUUUUGUUCACUAUUUCUUUGUCUUGGUUUUGGAACUGCAGGUUGUGUCUCUGCAGCUGUAUUUACGUAACGCUUAUGUUGCUUUGGAGUCACAAUUAUCAAAGAUUGUUGCAAAAGGCCACUUCGAUCAACAAUUUCUUGGCAUGUUUGCA
rnacentral:misc_RNA from 1 species